rnacentral:rRNA from 1 species
UACGGAGGAUCCAAGCGUUAUCCGGAAUCAUUGGGCGUAAAGGGCGCGUAGGCGGUUUUGUUUGUCCGCUGUGAAAGUCCACGGCUCACCCGUGGAGAGUCGGUGGAAACGGCAAGACUUGAGGCUGGGAGGGGUUGGUGGAAUUCCCUGUGUAGCGGUGAAAUGCGUAGAUACGGGGGAGAACACUCGUGGCGAAGGCGGCCAGCUGGCCCAGUCCUGACGCUGAGGCGCGACAGCGUGGGGAGCAAACAGG